CAAUCCUUAGCGCCGUCAAUGCUACUUGCAGCAAAGUGUGAUAUUUCGAAGAUCCCAAGUUGGAGAUCACCUUGAGAUCUAUUUUGUAAAAGAACCUUAACUAUAUAAAAUUGCAAUUAAGCAAUCCAAAACCAAGAAAAAAUAUUCCACAAUUGCUCAUGAUGAAAAAUUUGUUCAAUAAAAGUGAUGUUACUUUCAUUUCUCAGCCUACAAAUAUUAAGACAAUCAUAUCCUACCUACGAUACAUAAUAUACACAAUAACUGAAUAUGAACUGAAAGUAAUUGGUGUAAUGUGAAAAGAAAAAAAGAAAAAAGCAUCCCUUAUGUUUUAGUAUGACAUCAUUUGCAUAUGAGUACUGCAUGUGGAGGACAUCAAAGCCAUCUCUAGAUCUUCAUUCAUUUCUCUUCAAAUUCACCAUCAGUGAGAACAUGUUUACUCUUUUCUGAAGAGAAACUGGUACCUCGGCCAACUUUAUAAAAGAAGUCACUUUGUGGUUGCCAUAAAAUGUUCUCACAACUUGCACAGCAAUGUGUUUAGCUCUUGUAUCCGCCAAACUGCCUCCUACAUGCAAGGCAUUCUUCUUGCUCAAAUAAAUUAAUACACACAUAAAUCAUGCGUGCUCAUACUAAUUACUAUUGGACCAUUUCAUGAUUGGAGAUCUAAAUAAACAUUAGCUCGCAAAUAACAAAACAAAAAGAGUAGGGAUGACAAAUCUAAAUGUAAGAAAAAAGAACCCAUUUAAAUUUACGGGAACUUUUGUUUUGGUGGUACUGUAAAAAUAAUAUUCACCAGGGUCUACAUGAAUAAGGCAUCCUGAGCACAUAUUUUAUAUUUUGGCAUUUUAAUUAACUCCAUAAAUAGGUGCUCAGCAUCUGGAAUGAAGUUCUAAGCAUGAAAAUUCCAAUUGGCUACAAAUAUGGUUGAACAUUUAUGAGGAUUUCUUGCUUGAUUAAGCUGUGCAGGACAAGUUACUAUCUGAAAAAUGACUAAUGGGUAACUAAGGGAACAAAUUGUAACAUGAAUAACAAAUUCAUGCGUGUCUUAUAAAAUUAUUUUGAUUAUAACUAUCCAUGCUUUUUUCUCCUUUUUUGCCAACAGAGCAUUUUUCAUAAUCAAAUGUAACACUUCAAAAAUCUUUCAUCGAGAAAAAGCAAGAAAAAUGAAUUUCAUAAAGAAAACAUUACAGGAUGAAUGACAAAAUCCUAAACAUUGAUGAGCAAUGGAAAAUUGAAAAGAAAUACUCAAUCAUGGUUGGCCAGUCAGCAAUGUCCUAUCUUUUUAGCAUAAUGAUAAAAUCAUAGUUGGUCUACAAGUAGCAGUGACGAUGCAACGCUUGGCCGCUGAGUGCGGAGGAGCAGCGACGUCAUAGACGAGAUAUGGUAGAGCUACCCGCAUCAUAACCUCCUCCAAAGGCGUCGCCACCCAUAGCCUAAGCCAAUGCCAAAGCGGUAGCCAUGGCAUAGAUUUGAUCCUUUACCAAUCGAAAAGAAGAGUGGUAGAAGUGGGUAGGUAGUGAGGAGUAUAGAUAGAGAGAAGGUAGAGAGAAUGAUGAAGAUAGGGUUUGGUAUGAAUUGGGC
rnacentral:lncRNA from 1 species